rnacentral:rRNA from 1 species
AGAGUUUGAUCCUGGCUCAGGACGAACGCUGGCGGCGCGCCUAACACAUGCAAGUCGAACGAGAGAUGAGGAGCUUGCUCUUCAAAUCGAGUGGCGAACGGGUGAGUAACGCGUGAGGAACCUGCCUCAAAGAGGGGGACAACAGUUGGAAACGACUGCUAAUACCGCAUAAGCCCACGGCUCGGCAUCGAGCAGAGGGAAAAGGAGCAAUCCGCUUUGAGAUGGCCUCGCGUCCGAUUAGCUAGUUGGUGAGGUAACGGCCCACCAAGGCGACGAUCGGUAGCCGGACUGAGAGGUUGAACGGCCACAUUGGGACUGAGACACGGCCCAGACUCCUACGGGAGGCAGCAGUGGGGAAUAUUGCACAAUGGGGGAAACCCUGAUGCAGCGACGCCGCGUGGAGGAAGAAGGUCUUCGGAUUGUAAACUCCUGUUGUUGAGGAAGAUAAUGACGGUACUCAACAAGGAAGUGACGGCUAACUACGUGCCAGCAGCCGCGGUAAAACGUAGGUCACAAGCGUUGUCCGGAAUUACUGGGUGUAAAGGGAGCGCAGGCGGGGGAACAAGUUGGAAGUGAAAUCCAUGGGCUCAACCCAUGAACUGCUUUCAAAACUGUUUUUCUUGAGUAGUGCAGAGGUAGGCGGAAUUCCCGGUGUAGCGGUGGAGUGCGUAGAUAUCGGGAGGAACACCAGAGGCGAAGGCGGCCUACUGGGCACCAACUGACGCUGAGGCUCGAAAGUGUGGGUAGCAAACAGGAUUAGAUACCCUGGUAGUCCACACCGUAAACGAUGAUUACUAGGUGUUGGAGGAUUGACCCCUUCAGUGCCGCAGUUAACACAAUAAGUAAUCCACCUGGGGAGUACGACCGCAAGGUUGAAACUCAAAGGAAUUGACGGGGGCCCGCACAAGCAGUGGAGUAUGUGGUUUAAUUCGACGCAACGCGAAGAACCUUACCAAGUCUCGACAUCCCUUGACGAUGCUGGAAACAGUAUUUCUCUUCGGAGCAAGGAGACAGGUGGUGCAUGGUUGUCGUCAGCUCGUGUCGUGAGAUGUUGGGUUAAGUCCCGCAACGAGCGCAACCCUUAUGGUCAGUUACUACGCAAGAGGACUCUGGCCAGACUGCCGUUGACAAAACGGAGGAAGGUGGGGAUGACGUCAAAUCAUCAUGCCCUUUAUGACUUGGGCUACACACGUACUACAAUGGCGUUAAACAAAGAGAAGCAAGACCGCGAGGUGGAGCAAAACUCAGAAACAACGUCCCAGUUCGGACUGCAGGCUGCAACUCGCCUGCACGAAGUCGGAAUUGCUAGUAAUCGUGGAUCAGCAUGCCACGGUGAAUACGUUCCCGGGCCUUGCACUCACCGCCCGUCA